rnacentral:rRNA from 1 species
GAUGAACGCUGGCGGCGUGCUUAACACAUGCAAGUCGAACGGAAAGGCCCAAGCUUGCUUGGGUACUCGAGUGGCGAACGGGUGAGUAACACGUGGGUGAUCUGCCCUGCACUUCGGGAUAAGCCUGGGAAACUGGGUCUAAUACUGGAUAGGACCACAUUUUGGAUGGUGUGGUGGAAAGUUUUUCGGUGUGGGAUGAGCUCGCGGCCUAUCAGCUUGUUGGUGGGGUAAUGGCCUACCAAGGCGUCGACGGGUAGCCGGCCUGAGAGGGUGUACGGCCACAUUGGGACUGAGAUACGGCCCAGACUCCUACGGGAGGCAGCAGUGGGGAAUAUUGCACAAUGGGCGCAAGCCUGAUGCAGCGACGCCGCGUGGGGGAUGACGGCCUUCGGGUUGUAAACUCCUUUCGCUAGGGACGAAGCGCAAGUGACGGUACCUGGAGAAGAAGCACCGGCUAACUACGUG